ensembl:lncRNA
CCUGUUAGCUGUUAGCUCUGUCCCAUUUAUUAGACUGUGUUAGCCGUUAGCUUUGUUCGCUGUAUUAUCUCCUGUUAGCUGUUAGCUCUGUGCCAUUUAUUAGACUGUGUUAGCCGUUAGCUUUGUUCGCUGUAUGAGCUCCUGUUAGCUGUUAGCUCUGUCCCAUUUAUUAGACUGUGUUAGCCGCUAGCUUUGUUCGCUGUAUUAGCUCCUGUUAGCUGUUAGCUCUGUCCCAUUUACUAGACUGUGUUAGCCGUUAGCUUUGUCCGCUGUAUUAGCUCCUGUUAGCUGUUAGCUCGGUCUCAUUUAUUAGGCUCUGUGGUUAAUAAUCGUCGCACAUCGCUGUGUUUUUAUUUGAACAAACGUCAGAAUCAAUGUGAUGGACGAAGGCUCAUGAAAACACCACCUGAGAAGAGACAUCCGGGUGUUUGGUUCUUCCACCUGUGAGUAGAUGUUCCUCAACGAGAUCAAUGAUUUGUGAUGUGAGUUAUGCUGCUGAUUGGUUCAGGCAUUCCAACGGCACCUCAUUAUGAAACAGGCGUGUUGGCAGCGCUCCAGUAAAUACUACAGCCCAGGUGUGAUAAAUAAUGACUGAUAACGCUGGAGAGGAAAAGCUGCUGGCACACGACCAGAAUAGAUUCUGUGUGCGUGUGCGUGUGUGUGUGUGUGUUACACAAAGGUUCCUCGGGGUUUACUCAGCCCUUUAUAAACCUGUUUCAUUAAUGAAACAUUCACCGCGAUGACAUGGGAAUGAAGCUCAAAGACGCUUAUGAAAAAUGGAUUACAGAAACACUGCUUUAGUUUGAAUUAAUUUGAAUUUGAAGUCAUUUGAAUUUGACUACGUCCUUUCAACGUGAUUAUUGGAUAUUUGGGGAGCGUCGCUGUCCGUGGCUUCGUUUCACGAGCUUAAAACUACUCACUUCUCUCCAGCGUUCUAGUUCAGCAAUCAACAAAAAUCCCCGUCCCCUUUGGUAUUCAGACGGAUGCUCACUUAUUGGCGAGUGACGUCGGUGGGAUGUUGACUCGUGUAGUAAACAUGACUGAACACAAAGAGGCUCCUCUUCACGGCCCCCCCGACUGCUGCUUACGUCAAGAGUGAAUCUACUCUGAGCGCCGCGCGCUCCUCAAGCAAAAGUUUGUUUUCCCCACGGAGAGUAAACGCUGGAGCACCGUGUUGGGUUUGAGGAUGGAGGGCCAAACAAACACAGGGCUUUCGCCCCAAUCAUGUCUUUUCUUAAAUAUUUAAUUAUGUAUCCAAAUCUCGCUUCAAACCCGACUAGCUGAGUACAGAAAAACGUCAAGCGUUAAAAAAAGACACUCAGAGCUUCUAUCACAGGGAAUAAAGUGAGUUUAAGGCUCUACAGACAUGAAAACUCAUCGUGUUGAAUCCUAAACCCAAAAGAUGAACAAACCUUAACUUUGCAUUUAUGUUUUUCAGCCUUUUGAAUCAGUUUAUUUUCAGAUUCAGUGUCAAUUUUGCAGGUAAAACCCAUCAAAUGAAUGGAAGGUUUCCUUUGGAACGUGAAACCAACGAUGAAGUCAGGAAUAUUUGAAGUGGAGGAAGUGGAACCGGCGGCUCCUCUCCAGAGGUCAGUGUGUGUGUUGGUGAGUAAAUGUGGGCGGAGCUUGAAGGCUCGGAGCCAAUUACUGAUAAAUAACAGAGUAAUAAACCAGAGGGAGACCGAUAGAGGAACACAGAGUGGAGUUUAAAUACGCAGCCAGACACUCUGUCUCCACAGCGCUUCGUCAUUUCCACCGUGUGUGUGUGUGUGUGUGUGUCAGCCUGUUUAUUACUUUGGGGGGGGGGGGGGGGGUAGGUUCAGGGUGUGUCUUUGUGUGUGUGCUCUUGGUCAAUCUGUGCGUUCCAAAAUGUGUGUGUGUGCAAAAGUCAAUUAGAAUCAAUUUGUACCCUCAGCUGUUUGACCCCCCAACAGGCCGCCUUCCCCACGACUGCCUGUGUGCGUGUGCGUGUGUGUGUGUGUGUGUGUGUGCGUGUGUGUGUGUGUUUCAGCUUGUUACCUUGUUAUUGCAGAACUGAUGGGUCCCUUUGGUCACUGUGUGUGGGUCAGUUUGGUCAGGAGAGUGUGUGUACAUGUGUGUUCUUGUGCAUAUGUGUGUGUCUGUGUGUGUGUGUGUGUGUGUGUGUGUGUUUGUAAAUUGGAGCAACUCAGAUGAUCAGCUUCCAUCAGUCAGUGAAAAUAAAAACCCAAACACGGGGGGACGAGUCUCCGUCUCCUCUCGUCACAGUAAUUUACUUUAAAAAAGCGGAGCGACGAAACCGGGAAGAAAAAAGUCAAACACAGGACACCUGUUCAGGUCACUUUCAAUCCGCCUCAGGUCUCUGAUGUCCAUCCGGCCUGUGGUUGGACUGAAAAAACAAGAGUGCCAGGGAUCUGCACCAGGACACAUCUGGGUUGGACAGAUUUUAAGCUUCUUGAAUAAGAAAUAUCCCAUUUCACAUAAUAUUGUUUCUAUUGUAAAUCAAAAGUGCUGAUUCAAAAAACAUUUGGAUUAUUUCAAAGCUCCUUUGAUUAUGUUUGUUCACUGUGGGGAACAUUUGUAAAGUGACACCAUGUCGUGUAUUAUGAGUUGGUCCUUGUGUAAUAUGUGUGUACUUAUUAUUCCCGGGGGGGCUAUUUCAUAAACGGUGACGGUGCCCUCCUACUGCGCGUGAGAUGAAGAGAAGUGGUUCACGCUCUUUGAAUUCACCUUUUACAUUAAAGGUUGCCAGGUUUGCUCAAGGGCUCAGUCGGUGUUCAUGAGACUCGGUUGUUUGUCCCACCGUUAGCUGUGACCCGCUGACAUGUUUCAGCAGGGUGUUGCAGUGCCGGCUCGUUCGGCCUCCAUACUUUCUAUUUCACAAACUCUAAGAGUGUGUGUGUGUGUGUGUGUGUGUGUGUGUGUGUGUGUGUGUGUGUGUGGGACCAGAAGACGUAUGGCUGGUCGACAGAUUACAGCGGAAGGUGGAGAAGGUAAUGGCCUCGAUGUGGGCGUGUACCUGUGUGUACACAUGUGUGUGUGUGUGUGUGUGUGUGUGUGUGUGUCAUUUACAUUUCCGCCUGUAAUUAGUUGCUCAAACAAGUUUUAGUUCCUGAACGACCAACAAAACAAUGACGCUGAGACCUUUUAUGGGUCAAAGGUCACAGCAUCCAGCCCCGGAUAAAGACUCUGACGUAUUCAUUUAGUUUGAGUAGAAGAUUUCUCUUUUUGUUUUACCUGCAAUGUUCUCUAAAUGUUUGUUCCUGGCCUUUCUUGGCUUCUCGCUGCCUCCCUGAAAUGGUGUUCAGAGACGCAUAAUUAUGAUGUAAUUAUGAUAUAUGGCGGGUUUUGUAGUCCUAAAGCAAGUCCUGAAUGUAUCGAGACUUUGUGACGGUCAUAACUAACAAUCCAAACAUGCGGCACCGUUUAAAUCUUUUGUAAAAUAAAUAGUUAUAAUCUCAAUCUCAGCAGUCUAUGAACAGGCGGAGAAAGACGGAGUGAACGGACGACUGGUUCUGCCUGAGCGGGACGGAGAGGGAGAGACAGAGAGGGAGAGAUGACCUGUGAUGGGCCGCAGCCACAGACAGAGGUCAGGUGAAAGGUCAUCCAGGGGUUGAAGAGAUGGAGGAGCGAGGGGCAUAUCAACACGUUGUCUAAUAUCUAUCCCGUGUGUGUGCGUGCACGUGUGUGUGUGUGUGUGUGAUUGAUCCGUCCAACCCGGUGGCCGCGGCUAUAAAGCCUAAAGAGACCGGAGAUGAGUGUGUGUUGGUCUGUGUGUGUGUGUGUGUGUGUGUGUCUGGGGGGGGGAGGGGCUGAGGGAUGAGAGGCGAUCCGUCUCCCGUGGCGACAGGCCGGACCGUGGACUCUUCCGCUUCCUCUAAAUAUUUACAGAGCGCUGGCCAAUCUGAGCCAAACAGAGUCUGCCCCCAGCCGCGACGUGCAGUGAGUCUGCGUGAGUGCGUCCGUGUGUGUACUUCAAGUGAUUACACACAUUUUCACCAGUUUGGACUCGCUAACGUGAGUGGUGCUCCCGGAGAUCCAAACUUCACACUCACUUAGCGCGUUUUUUACAAUUAAAAUCAGACCAGCUAUUAGCCCUGACACACACACACACACACACACGCCGUCUGUCACACACGCGCGCACACAAACAUGAUUACACAAACACGUCAAGUUUCCCCAGAGUUAUACAAAGUGGUCCGAUUAACUCUCUCGAAAGCACACUCAGAUUCAUCUAAACAUGCAAAAACACAUCCAUCUCUUCCUGUUACUCUCUUUCUCUCACACACACACACUCUCCCAUGCGCACACGCACACACACACACACACACACACAGCCAGAGCACGUGUGUGCAGUGAAAGUGCUCAGCCUGCCCGUUUGAGCGAACAGUAAAUGAAUAAAAUGUGUUCGAGCCGCUGAGAGGAAGUGGUUUCCAGACCGCCUCAGCAUGUUGGGAACAGCUGUUUGUGCGUUUGUGUACGUGUGUGUACGUGUGUGAACCGGCUUGUUCAUGAGUAGCAUGUUUUCAUCCUGUGUGGGUUUGCAUCUGCGUAUCUCUUGAAGUGUGUUUCCACAUGUGUGUGUUUUUCCUUAUAUCCUGCCUGUGUGUGUGUGUGUGUGUGUGUGUGUGUGUGUGUGUGUGUGUGUGUGUGUG